UGCGCAGGCGGACUUGUCAGUCAGGGGUGAAAUCCUACAGCUCAACUGUAGAACUGCCUUUGAUACUGCAAGUCUUGAGUUCGGAAGAGAGAGGCGGAAUUCCAGGUGUAGUGGUGAAAUACGUAGAUAUCUGGAAGAACACCAGAGGCGAAGGCGGUCUCUUGGUCCGUAACUGACGCUGAGGCACGAAAGCGUGGGGAGCAAACAGGAUUAGAUACCCUGGUAGUCC
rnacentral:rRNA from 1 species